GUAAGAUCCCUCGAAGAUGACGAGGUUGAUAGGUCAGAGGUGGAAGCGCGGCGACGUGUGGAGCUGACUGAUACUAAUAGAUCGAGGACUUAACCAC
rnacentral:rRNA from 1 species